rnacentral:rRNA from 1 species
UACGUAGGGGGCUAGCGUUGUCCGGAAUCAUUGGGCGUAAAGAGCGUGUAGGCGGUCCGGUAAGUCCGCUGUGAAAGUCGGGGGCUCAACCCUCGAAUGCCGGUGGAUACUGUCGGGCUAGAGUGCGGAAGAGGCGAGUGGAAUUCCUGGUGUAGCGGUGAAGUGCGCAGAUAUCAGGAGGAACACCUAUUGCGAAGGCAGCUCGCUGGGACGUAACUGACGCUGAGACGCGAAAGCGUGGGGAGCAAACAGG